UACGAAGGGGGCUAGCGUUGUUCGGAUUUACUGGGCGUAAAGCGUACGUAGGCGGAUCGUUAAGUCGGGGGUGAAAUCCUGGAGCUCAACUCCAGAACUGCCUUCGAUACUGGCGAUCUUGAGUCCGGAAGAGGUGAGUGGAACUCCUAGUGUAGAGGUGGAAUUCGUAGAUAUUAGGAAGAACACCAGUGGCGAAGGCGGCUUACUGGUCCGGUACUGACGCUGAGGUGCGAAAGCGUGGGGAGCAAACAGG
rnacentral:rRNA from 1 species